AACGUACUUUCUCCGUUCAACAAAAUAUGUCUCAAAUUUGUCAAAUUUUGAAUGUAUCUAGACAUGACUUAGUGUAUAAAUGCGUUUAAAUUUGAUCAAAGUUGAGACAUUUUUUGUUGGACGAAAGGAGUAUACA
rfam:Brachypodium distachyon strain Bd21 chromosome 3, whole genome shotgun sequence.